CUCCUCCGUGAGAGACUCAAGGCCGGUGCGCCUUCCAGGUGUAGUUCGUUAACUCUGAGUAGGGGGAGGCUGCAGACCUGGAGCCGGUAGAUAUACGACCCAAGCAGUUUUACGCCCCUGGCAGUUUUACGCCCCUGUUGUUCCUCGUGCGUCCAGUACUCUCGCGCCACCGGCCUCGCGCCGUUCCCUCACGGCUCUCGCCCGCCCUGGUCGCCACAGUAUUCGGCUCAGUUUGUGGAUAGGAACCGGGCAGUGCUUAUUCAAAGGGUUUCUUCAGUGUUGGCAAUAGCAGAUGAGCUACAAAAUAAAGACAUGAUACAUGAUGAAACAUAUUCAGAGAUCAGAGCAGAAGUAACCAACCAGGGCAAACUGAGAAAGCUGUUUGAAGCGCUGCAUUCUGGAGGAGACAGAGUGAAAAAUGACUUUUAUUAUGCGCUGAAACAUCAUGGUAUAUGACCUGUCCUGUGGUUGAUGCGGUGGAGUGACAACUGAAAACAACCGUGACCUAAACCUGCGGGAGAGCAUGCAGCUGCAGUGACCUGAACAAUUGCUGAUAUCCUGUCCUUGAAGCUCAACAAACAGUGCUGUGCAAGACUUUACAGACCUAAUGUGGAAAAAAGAGAGAUGAUGCAGCCACAUGAACAUGAAAUAAUGUUUAAAAUGCCGUUAAAGGAACCCCCCCCCCCCCCCACCCCAAAAUCAAAUUGUCACCAUUUAAAGGGUUAGUUCACACAAAAAUUAAAUUAAUUACUCACCCUCAUGUCUUUCCAAGCCAUCUCAGAACACAAAUUGCAAUAUUUUUGAUGAAUCCGAGAACUCUCUGACUCCUCUAGACAGCAAUUUAAUUACCACUUUCAAGGCCCAGAAAGAUAAAGACAUCAUUUAAAUAGUCCAUGUGACUACAUGGUUCAACCUUAAUUUUAUGAAGCGUUGAGAAUACUUUUUGUGAGCAAAAACAAAACAAAAAUAACAACUUUAUUCAACAAUUUGUUCUCUUCCAUGUCAGUCUCUUACGCUGUUUACAUUACUGAGACAGCCUUGAAAGUGGUAAUCAAAUUGCUGUCUAUGGAGGGGUCAGAGAGCUCUCAGGUUUCAUCAAAAAUAUCUUAAUUUGUGUUCCGAAGAUGAACGAAAGUCUUACGGGUUUGAAGCGACAUGAGGGUCAGUAAUUAAUGACAGAAUUUUAAUUUUUGGGUGAAUAUACCAGAAUUUGUAGGCUGUGUUUGAAACAUUUGAAAUGUAUGAAAGUAAAUGUUUGACCUUUUGGAACAUCUGACCUUUGGUUACAUGGAAGAAAAUGUCAUACAGGCUUUAAUUUUUUUAGGUGAACAUUUUUCAGCACUUUUAAUAAGGACAAAAUGUUAUACAUCAUCCAUAGUUAGGCCUAUUCGAAUUUUAUUUUUUUUAUAUUAAUAAAUAUAUUCAAAUUAAAGUCUUUAUAAUAAUAAAAAUGAAUUGUAAGUGCUUGCAAAGUAAAUAAAAUUGAGGUUAAACUUCAAAAAUCACCCACUGACUUGCAUCAGUAAUGAUGUCACAAUUUAGUGUCAUUUAAUUGCCUUCAUGUCAUUUAAAGCUGCAUUUAUGCCUUUGGCUGCCUUUAUACUGUUCAGUUCCUUUCACAACACAUGAAAUAAUUAUUGUGUAUCUGUUUUUGCAUUCCUGUGGGAUUCUCUUCUCCUCGAAUAAAUUGAUAAUGUUGUGAA